UCUCUCUGUCCUUCCCCCCAAUUGCUCUCCAUCUCUCUCUCAAAAUAAAUAAAUAUAAACUUAAAAAAAAAAAGAGAGAGAAAGGAAAGGCAACUUGGGAUAAAGGAGAUGGUGUCCAGAGCUUGGAACACUCUAGAACUGCUGCUUCCUCUUUAUCAAGGCUCUUCCACAAACAGCAGCAUCACUGAGCAAAUGGUUUCUCCUCCAACGCUUCCCUCCCAGUGCUCAUCUCAAACUUAAUCCCUCACCUCCCAUCCUCCCUCACCCCUGCAGCAGCUCAGGCCUGAACCACUGGACCUGGUGUUGUCCCCCGCGUCCCCGUCCCCGAACCAUAAUGCUCCCCCUUCCUACCACAAGCGGUCAUAGACCCCUCCCCUUUGCCACGGAGGAAAUAAGAGCUGUAAAAUUGCCUUGCCUUCAGAAUAUAGAUAUUCACGUUCAUGUACGCUCAUCUAGAGAGAGGCUGUUUGGAUCUCUGUGUCCAAUGACUUUGAAGAAUAUGGCGGAUGUGCUUUUGUCUUUGCAGGUGUAAUUAAGGCAAGGGUCUGCAGAGGAGAUCAUUGUCAAAGAGACCAGUCCAAUGACCACGUCCUUCUAAGAGGAAGGAGAGGAAACUUUGACAUACGGAGGGAAGCCUUCCUGAAGACGGAGGCAGAGGUCGAAGUGAUGCUUCCACAGGCCAAGGACAGCCGAGGAUUGCAGCAGUGGCCAGAAGCGAGGAGAGAGGCAUGGCAUGGCUUCUCCCUCAGAACCUCCGGAAGGAACCAGCUCUGACGUCACCUUGAUUUUGUACUCUGACCUCCCGAACCAUGAGAGAAUAAACUUUCGUUGUUUUAAGUGA